rnacentral:rRNA from 1 species
CAGCAACUUGGGAGAAUGCUUCUUAUUUUAAUAAUAAUAUAUAUUAUUAUUAAACUUAAGUAUUCAUGAAAUUUGAAUAUAAUUCUAGGUAAAAAAUUGAUAAUGACAAAGUUUUAUCUAUUUGUCUUGACCAAAUCUUGUGCCAGCAGUCGCGGCAACACAAGGAAGACAAGUGUUAUUCAUCUUAAAUCGGUUUAAGGGGUACCUAGACGGUAAAUUACGCCAUAGUAGGAACGUUUUUACUAGAGUUAUACAUGCAUGGGGAUUGUGUCAGUAUUACCAGAGUAGAGAUGAAAUUUUUUGAUACUGUUAAGACUGGUAAAGGCGAAAGCAAACCUUUAUAUAUUAACUGACGUUGAGGGACGAAGGCUUGGGGAGCAAACAGGAUUAGAUACCCUAAUAGUCCAGGCAGAGAAUUAUGAAUGUCAUAGAUUAUAU